GCGUCGGUGAUGCAACGGUUAGCAUGCGCUCCUGGAAGGAGUGAGUUCUGGGUUCGAAUCUCGGCAGGCGCA